rnacentral:sRNA from 1 species
UACCGUACGUUGUUGCCAUCAGGCCAUC